CCCGGUGGCUAUGUCGGAGGGGCCACACCCGUUCCCAUUCCGAAUACGGUCGUUAAGCCCUCCAGAGCCGAUGGUACUGUCCUGGCAACGGGGCGGGAGAGUAGGACGCCGCCGGGU
rnacentral:rRNA from 1 species